UCCGGCUUACACCGGCGGUCUCCUGUGAGUCCCCAUCUUUCAUGCUGGUAACACAGAACGAGGGUUGCGCUCGUUGGCGGACUUAACCGUACACCUCACGGCACGAGCUGACGACAGCCAUGCAACAUCUGUUUUCGAGUCCCCUUGUGGGGGAGGACCCAAUCUCUUGGGCUUUCUCUCAAUGUCAAACCUGGGUAAGGUUCUUCGGUUAGUAUCGAAUUAAACCACAUGCUCCACCGCUUGUGCGGGUCCCCGUCAAUUCAUUUGAGUUUCAACCUUGCGGCCGUAGUCCCCAGGCGGGAUACUUAAUGCGUUAGCUGCGGCACAGGAGGGGUCGAUACCUCCUACGCCUAGUAUCCAUCGUUUAGGGCGUGGACUAC
rnacentral:misc_RNA from 1 species